CCGAAAUACAAUAAAAAAAAAACCUUGACAAACAUCCAUGUUAAUGUGGCUUAAGACUCCUUGUGUCUAUCAAUGAACUAUUAUUCAAGGACACGGUUAAAAAUUCGAAAAAGGUCAAUUUACGUCAAAAAAAGCAAAAAAACAGAAAAGCAGCAAAUUCCUACUUUUAAAUGACUGAACUUUGAUUUUCACGCAGCAUGUAACUGAAAUUAUUGGUUCCAAAACUGAUAAACAUAAAGAGACGUUCAGCAAUGAUCAAAUCAGAACUAAACUCGUGCACUGUUCAUUAUUUUACUCAUUCAUCAAUUAGUUGUUUGGUCUCUAAAGGACCGUCGAUCAGUGUUUCCAAAGACUAAAACGUCCAUAAACGUCUCGUAUUGUCCAUAACUCAGAGGUGUUCAGUUUACUGACUAAAAUAUCUAAAAUAUUUACAUUUAGAAAGUUUGUAAUUUUAAAAAAACAACAAAGUAAUAAAAAUUAAUUCAAAGGCUGACAACUAAUCGACUAAUUGUUGCAUCUCAAACUACGAUUCAUGUUUUUAAACCAACUUUUUGGAGUUUUAAUGAGAAGAACCAACACCAACCAACAUGUGACUGAAUCCCAGGGUAACGUUUGAAGUGUUGAGCUCACAGAUGAAGCCAGAUUGUAGUUACGGUGAAUAAAAAAGACACAAAUUCUGCUUUUAAAGUCGUUGUGCUGCAACCAUCAGCUCGUCUUUACUUUCUAUCAUCCUGUAGGACCAACAUGGAGGCAGGUUUGACUGGUUGGUGUUUUCCCAGCAGAUGAAAUCAGAUCAUUCUGAUGUUUUCUGGUUAAAAACGCUGGUGUUGUGUUUGAACUGAUGGACUGGACCAGCAGCUCGGUGGGUUCUGGACUCCACGUGGAUGUUUUCUGUGUCCUGAACCAACCAAACGUCCACAACAUGGCCGACAGGUCGACCUAGGCUCCGAUUGGUCGGCUGAGUCAUCCUGUCAUGUGGCAGAAACACGAACUGUUGAAGCGUUUAGUCUCACAGUCCAUCUACAGGAGACCCGUAUUUUAUUUAUGAAUAUGCUGCUUGGAAUUUCUUAAUCUUUAAUAAAGAAAUAUGGUUUACAAA
ensembl:lncRNA